rnacentral:rRNA from 1 species
CAGCCGCCACGGUAAUACGUAGGGUGCAAGCGUUAAUCGGAAUUACUGGGCGUAAAGCGUGCGCAGGCGGUUCUAUAAGACAGAUGUGAAAUCCCCGGGCUCAACCUGGGAACUGCAUUCGUGACUGUAGAGCUGGAGUGCGGCAGAGGGGGAUGGAAUUCCGCGUGUAGCAGUGAAAUGCGUAGAUAUGCGGAGGAACACCGAUGGCGAAGGCAAUCCCCUAGGCCUGCACUGACGCUCAUGCACGAAAGCGUGGGGAGCAAACAGGAUUAGAUACCCCCGUAGUCCCUGUCCUUAUACA